rnacentral:rRNA from 1 species
CGGUGGAGCAUGUGGUUUAAUUCGAUGCAACGCGAAAAACCUUACCACUCCUUGACAUGGAGAUUAGAUCCUUCUUAACGGAAGGGCGCAGUUCGGCUGGGUCUCGCACAGGUGCUGCAUGGCUGUCGUCAGCUCGUGUCGUGAGAUGUUGGGUUAAGUCCCGCAACGAGCGUAACCCUCAUCCUUAGUUGCCAGCGGGUAAUGCCGGGUACUUUAAGGAAACUGCCGGUGGUAAACCGGAGGAAGGUGGGGAUGAUGUCAAGUCAGCACGGCCCUUAUGGGGUGGGCUACACACGUGCUACAAUGGUGACUACAAUAG